GGAUGUGAGGGCGAUCUGGCUGUGACAUCUGUCACAUCGUUGAUCGCCACGAUUGAUUUGGCUGAUCUGGCUGGCUAGGUGGGUGUCCCCUUCCUCCUCCCUUUUCCUCCCUCACCAUUCCAUGUGUAUCCCUCCCAAAGCUGCACACUCGGUCGAAGAGAAUAAACUUCCCCAAUAGAAGGGGACUAUUCUUUGGUCAAGAGUGUAUGAGCAGCUGCAUGCCCCUGCUAGAACCUCCAAACAAGCUUUCAAGGUCCAGUUCAGGUACAGAAAAGUCAGAUUUAUAAUGUAUCUAAUACAUACCAAAAGAAGGGCCUGCUACAGGAGAUUAGACAGAGGGUGAGCUACUCUUCUUG
rnacentral:snRNA from 1 species